rnacentral:rRNA from 1 species
UACGUAGGGUGCGAGCGUUAAUCGGAAUUACUGGGCGUAAAGCGUGCGCAGGCGGUUUUGUAAGCCAGAUGUGAAAUCCCCGGGCUUAACCUGGGAAUGGCAUUUGGGACUGCAAGGCUCGAGUGCGGCAGAGGAGACUGGAAUUCCUGGUGUAGCAGUGAAAUGCGUAGAUAUCAGGAGGAACACCGAUGGCGAAGGCAGGUCUCUGGGCUGACACUGACGCUCAGGUGCGAAAGCCAGGGGAGCGAACGGG